rnacentral:ncRNA from 1 species
UUGUGGAAAGAUUUGGCUGAUUGCAACCACUUAAAAAAAAUGCUAAAGCAGUGU